ACGCUAGCUACAGGCUUAACACAUGCAAGUCGAGGGGAAACGGCAUUAAGUGCUUGCACUUUUUGGACGUCGACCGGCGCACGGGUGAGUAACGCGUAUCCAACCUUCCCAUGACUAAGGGAUAACCUGCCGAAAGGCAGACUAAUACCUUAUGGUCUUCACUGACGGCAUCAGAUGUGAAGUAAAGAUUUAUCGGUUAUGGAUGGGGAUGCGUCUGAUUAGUUAGUUGGCGGGGUAACGGCCCACCAAGGCAACGAUCAGUAGGGGUUCUGAGAGGAAGGUCCCCCACAUUGGAACUGAGACACGGUCCAAACUCCUACGGGAGGCAGCAGUGAGGAAUAUUGGUCAAUGGGCGAGAGCCUGAACCAGCCAAGUAGCGUGCAGGAUGACGGCCCUAUGGGUUGUAAACUGCUUUUGUAUGGGGAUAAAGUCAAUCACGUGUGAUUGUUUGCAGGUACCAUACGAAUAAGGACCGGCUAAUUCCGUGCCAGCAGCCGCGGUAAUACGGAAGGUCCGGGCGUUAUCCGGAUUUAUUGGGUUUUAAGGGAGCGUAGGCUGGAGAUUAAGUGUGUUGUGAAAUGUAGACGCUCAACGUCUGACUUGCAGCGCAUACUGGUUUCCUUGAGUACGCACAACGUUGGCGGAAUUCGUCGUGUAGCGGUGAAAUGCUUAGAUAUGACGAAGAACUCCGAUUGCGAAGGCAGCUGACGGGAGCGCAAUUGACGCUGAAGCUCGAAGGUGCGGGUAUCGAACAGGAUUAGAUACCCUGGUAGUCCGCACAGUAAACGAUGGAUGCCCGCUGUUGGUACUUGGUAUCAGCGGCUAAGCGAAAGCAUUAAGCAUCCCACCUGGGGAGUACGCCGGCAACGGUGAAACUCAAAGGAAUUGACGGGGGCCCGCACAAGCGGAGGAACAUGUGG
rnacentral:rRNA from 1 species